AAGAUCGUACUUUCAGGGAUUAUUUCUUGAGUGUGUAUCUUGGCCUCUCGUGGCAUCUGUGUCGACUGUCGUCAGCCCGAAGAUGACAAUUGGUGACUCCUAAAGCAUGAGAAAGGCACAGCAGCUUUAAUUCUGCUGUCGAAGAUUGAUCUCCCAUUUUAGGAAAUUUUGAAUUCACCUUCUGAGGGCU